AACGAACGCUGGCGGCAGGCUUAACACAUGCAAGUCGAACGCAUCCUUCGGGGUGAGUGGCAGACGGGUGAGUAACGCGUGGGAACGUGCCCUUCAGUUCGGGAUAACCCAGGGAAACUUGGGCUAAUACCGGAUACGUGCGAGAGCAGAAAGAUUUAUCGCUGAAGGAUCGGCCCGCGUCUGAUUAGCUAGUUGGUGGGGUAAUGGCCCACCAAGGCGACGAUCAGUAGCUGGUCUGAGAGGAUGAUCAGCCACAUUGGGACUGAGACACGGCCCAAACUCCUACGGGAGGCAGCAGUGGGGAAUAUUGGACAAUGGGCGCAAGCCUGAUCCAGCCAUGCCGCGUGAGUGAUGACGGCCUUCGGGUUGUAAAGCUCUUUUGUCCGGGAAGAUAAUGACUGUACCGGAAGAAUAAGCCCCGGCAAACUUCGUGCCAGCCGCCGCCGUAA
rnacentral:rRNA from 1 species